UACGGGGGGGUAAGCGUUGUUCGGAAUUACUGGGCGUAAAGGGCUCGUAGGCGGCCAACUAAGUCAGACGUGAAAUCCCUCAGCUUAACUGGGGAACUGCGUCUGAUACUGGCAGGCUUGAAUCCGGGAGAGGGAUGCGGAAUUCCAGGUGUAGCGGUGAAAUGCGUAGAUAUCUGGAGGAACACCGGUGGCGAAGGCGGCAUCCUGGACCGGCAUUGACGCUGAGGCGCGAAAGCCAGGGGAGCAAACGGG
rnacentral:rRNA from 1 species